ensembl:lncRNA
CUUUGCCAUGUGUACUGACAUGCUGAUUUAUUAGUAAAACUUAGGGGUGCUCAGGAGAACUGAGUGAGGUAUGCUGUGUUGCUAUUUUGAGUUGUUAGGAAGGCUGCAAUGUGCACCCAGAGACUUUACCAGGGUUGCUCAGAAAGUGCAACUGGGGAGCAUGAAUUAAGAAAAUGUAGACAGCGAGCAAGCUGAGGAAAAGAGCUCCAGCAGAGUGAAGCCCUGAUUAGAACCACAGCGUGUCAUUUGAUCUUCAGAUGGCUAUAAAAGGUCUGUGUGAGUGGCCAUACUGCUCCUGUCCCAAAUGGAUGGUCAUGCAUGCUGCACAUCACCAUGCUUCUGGCAUGACUUCAGCAAAACUGGUCAGAGCUCCUUCCAGAGCUAAAACAACACAAGAUCAAGCUCUGGAUGGGAGUACAUGUUUUCACAGAAGACCAAGAGUACAGUGCAAAAGAAAAGACAUCAGUGCCUAGGGUAUGGAAUUAGGAGAGCUUGAGAAGUCUUCUCCAUGAGGCAACAACAUUAUUCCAAGUCUGUUGAUGCCUCCAGACACACUGCUUUCAAACCCAGGUGCCUCUAAAUGUAGGAGUGAAGUUCUUUGAGCCAUGCUUCAGAGUUUGACCCUGGACAAGUAAAAGAGGGUCUGUGCCUAAAUAAAGGAGAACACAU